CCCUGCAGCCCAAGACUGGUUGCCCACUGAAGCUAAGCAGGGUUGAGCUGGUCAGUACCUGGAUGGGAGACCUCCUGGGAAAACUAGGUUGCUGCUGGAA
rnacentral:rRNA from 1 species